rnacentral:antisense_RNA from 1 species
UUCAAUGGUGAUUCAGGUAGGGGAGGCUUCGGCCUCGCCGGUUGGUUACUCCCGGUCUGCUAACCCUGCUUGAAUCGCCACCAUC